rnacentral:rRNA from 1 species
UACGAAGGGGGCUAGCGUUGUUCGGAAUUACUGGGCGUAAAGCGUGCGCAGGCGGCUUUCCAAGUCAGUGGUGAAAGCCCGGAGCUCAACUCCAGAAUUGCCUUUGAAACGGGAUUGCUUGAGUCCGAGAGAGGAUGGCGGAAUUCCUAGUGUAGAGGUGAAAUUCGUAGAUAUUAGGAAGAACACCGGUGGCGAAGGCGGCCAUCUGGCUCGGUACUGACGCUCAGGCGCGAAAGCGUGGGGAGCAAACAGG